UUAUUAAGCUACUAGUUUAACUGUGAAGCAGUUAACAUGCAAUUUAGCCUAGUAAAAACUGAUAAGUAAUUCACAAUGCAUUUGUUUUUCGAUCAUCUUCCAAUCAUUUAUUUCGAUGAUAUCAUCAAUAAUAGUAAAAACAAUUAAAAUAACUUGUACAAAGCCUCCUUGAAAGAGGACAAUAUGAAACAUAGGUACAGAUUUUUGGAUCUCUCCGUAGUUAUUUCCAAGUUGUCGUAAAUCAGAAAACAUAGCAAAAAGAUCGAAGAGUCUGUCAGACAGCCAUCAGACCACCCCGGCAACUAUUGUUGGAGCUGAGAACGAUCAUCCACGGCACCAUGACCCGAGGGCUAUGGGAACUGUUAAUCACGCUCUAGCCCAAUAGGAAUGCCUAAUCAACCAGACUUGUUUUCCUGUCUCCUUAGAACUCAAGAAUACAGUGGUACGAGCCUAUAGAACAGAUCCUGUUCAAGUAAGGUCGUAUCCAUCCAAGUUGCUUCACUGAUAUAUAAAUACUUCCUUGCCUAGGAUGCUUGUCAAUGUGGUACGUUGGACGAAAAAAGAAAGGACUAAUUAAUUAUUAUUUUUAUUGUCUUUACAAGUCGAUAAUGCUGACAAAAAAGGAAAACCACAACUAUGUUUUUGUCUACAUCGAAAGACGUUUGUGGCUGCGCAGAAUUCUUCGGUUUCCAAUUAAUUCAUGUGAAUUCUUAGUUGCAAAUUUAAGGGACUUAUAAAUAACCCGAAGUUUCUUUUUAAUAUAUUCAUGGAAUUCCGCCUUUAAGAAACUCACAUUUUAAAUGCUCAAGAAAUCAGUUAUAAUCAAUGAUGGCUUACCAAGAAUUGUUGCAAAAGAAAGUGCUUUUUAUUCUUGUGUGGAUCUUAUGUCUUUUUAAGUGUUUGGCUUUGAAAAAUCUGGAUAAAUAUUAUAUUUAAUUUGUGUAUGAUUUCAAUAAUAAGAGAGUGAAAGUAUCUGAUAUUAGAAUUAGGGUAGUGUAUAUUUUAGAAUACAUGCAAGUGGUAUAUUACAGUUGAUUCAUAUUAUAUGAGUGUUUAGUGUAAUUAUUGAAUUUAUUUUAAAUUAACAAGAUGUUCUCAUACACUUUAAUGUGCAAAACAUGCAUCUCUUAUCCCCAAAUUUUCGUGAUGUACUACACUACCAGGUUUGGGGUCAAUAAUCAAAUACAAAUUAACGUGCUUUCUUCACAGAGAUAUAUAAAUAUUGGAGUCAAAGAGCAAAAAACAGGUAAAAUAAAAAGAACAUUAAAAAAGAAAGAAAGUUCAAUCUUACAUCAAACGAGAAGAAGAGUUUUUUUGUCGGUCUUCUACUUCGAAG
rnacentral:lncRNA from 1 species